UACGUAGGGUGCGAGCGUUGUCCGGAAUUAUUGGGCGUAAAGGGCGCGUAGGCGGUUUGUCGCGUCGGGAGUGAAAACCAGGUGCUUAACACCUGGCUUGCUUUCGAUACGGGCAGACUAGAGGUAUGCAGGGGAGAACGGAAUUCCUGGUGUAGCGGUGAAAUGCGCAGAUAUCAGGAGGAACACCGGUGGCGAAGGCGGUUCUCUGGGCAUGACCUGACGCUGAGGAGCGAAAGUGUGGGGAGCGAACAGG
rnacentral:rRNA from 1 species